rnacentral:rRNA from 1 species
UACGGAGGGUGCAAGCGUUAUCCGGAUUCACUGGGUUUAAAGGGUGCGUAGGAGGGUAGGUAAGUCAGUGGUGAAAUCUUCGAGCUUAACUCGGAAACUGCCGUUGAUACUAUCUAUCUUGAAUACCGUGGAGGUGAGCGGAAUAUGUCACGUAGCGGUGAAAUGCUUAGAUAUGACAUAGAACACCAAUUGCGAAGGCAGCUCGCUACACGAAUAUUGACUCUGAGGCACGAAAGCGUGGGGAUCAAACAGG